CAGUAGCCGCGGUAAAACGUAGGUGGCAAGCGUUGUCCGGAAUUAUUGGGCGUAAAGGGCUCGCAGGCGGUUUCUUAAGUCUGAUGUGAAAGCCCCCGGCUCAACCGGGGAGGGUCAUUGGAAACUGGGAAACUUGAGUGCAGAAGAGGAGAGAGGAAUUCCACGUGUAGCGGUGAAAUGCGUAGAUAUUCGGAAGAACACCAGUGGCGAAGGCGGCUCACUGGCUCAUACUGGACGCUGAGGUGCGAAAGCGUGGGGAGCAAACAGGAUUAGAUACCCGGGUAGUCCCUGUCUCUUAUAA
rnacentral:rRNA from 1 species